GAGCCCAGCCGGCUCUUCUGCACGUUCCAGGUCGUUCUCAAUGAUGACGAGCAUACGGGCCACCUCUUCAUAUUUGCGGUCGGCAUCCUCAGCAUUGUGCUUGGCCUCUUUCAGUUGGAUCUCCUGAAUUUCCAUUUUCUCUUCAUCCUUUUGGGCUCGACUUUCAAUGACUUUCAUGCCUCUCUCACUCUCACCUGCUGCCUUCUCAGCUUCAGCCUGCUUGCUCCUGUCUUCCGCCGCCUUCUUGUCGGCCUCCGCCUGCUCAGCUCAAUCCAAGGCGUUCUCCUUGUCGAGCUUCAGCAUCUGCAUCUUCUUCUUGAUUGCGUCCAUGGUGGCAGCAGCGAGGGGCCCUGGGGCUGCAGCAGGAGGGGUCGGGCGGAGGAGCGGGAGUGCAAGCGCGGAGCCGCCUGCUGCUCCCAGAUAUGUACUUUCCCCGGUCAUGAACUUUCUAGUGCGGAUAGUCACUGUGUUGUUCAUGAUGGCUGCCUAUACUUAGACAGCCGGGGAGGAAAAGAGCGCACCGUGCCCAUUUAAAUUGAGCAGAUUGUAUGGAG
rnacentral:lncRNA from 13 species